rnacentral:rRNA from 1 species
UCCUAAGGUAGCGAAAUUCCUUGUCGGGUAAGUUCCGACCUGCACGAAUGGCGUAACGACUUCUCGACUGUCUCAACCAUAGGCCCGGUGAAAUUGCAUUACGAGUAAAGAUGCUCGUUUCGCGCAGCAGGACGGAAAGACCCCGGGACCUUUACUAUAGCUUGAUAUUGGUGUUCGGUUCGGCUUGUGUAGGAUAGGUGGGAGACUUUGAAGCGGCAACGCCAGUUGUUGUGGAGUCGUCGUUGAAAUACCACUCUGGUCGUGCUGGAUGUCUAACCUGGGUCCGUGAUCCGGAUCAGGGACAGUGUCUGGUGGGUAGUUUAACUGGGGCGGUUGCCUCCUAAAGGGUAACGGAGGCGCCCAAAGGUUCCCUCAGCCUGGUUGGCAAUCAGGUGUUGAGUGUAAGUGCACAAGGGAGCUUGACUGUGAGACUGACGGGUCGAGCAGGUACGAAAGUAGGGACUAGUGAUCCGGCGGUGGCUUGUGGAAGCGCCGUCGCUCAACGGAUAAAAGGUACCCCGGGGAUAACAGGCUGAUCUUCCCCAAGAGUCCAUAUCGACGGGAUGGUUUGGCACCUCGAUGUCGGCUCGUCGCAUCCUGGGGCUGGAGUAGGUCCCAAGGGUUGGGCUGUUCGCCCAUUAAAGCGGUACGCGAGCUGGGUUUAGAACGUCGUGAGACAGUUCGGUCCCUAUCCGCUGUGCGCGUAGGAGUGUUGAGAAGGGCUGUCCCUAGUACGAGAGGACCGGGACGGACGAACCUCUGGUGUGCCAGUUGUCCUGCCAAGGGCAUGGCUGGUUGGCUACGUUCGGGAGGGAUAACCGCUGAAAGCAUCUAAGCGGGAAGCCUGCUUCGAGAUGAGCACUCCCACCUCCUUGAGAGGGUAAGGCUCCCAGUAGACGACUGGGUUGAUAGGCCGGAUAUGGAAGCCCUGUGAGGGGUGGAGUUGACCGGUACUAAUAGGCCGAGGGCUUGUCCUC